UACGGAGGGUGCGAGCGUUGUCCGGAAUCACUGGGCGUAAAGGGCGCGUAGGCGGCUCAUGAAGGCUGCGGUGAAAGUCCGGGGCUCAACCUCGGAUCGGCCGUGGCGACUCGUGGGCUGGAGCACUGUAGAGGCGGGUGGAAUUCCGGGUGUAGCGGUGGAAUGCGUAGAGAUCCGGAAGAACACCAGUGGCGAAGGCGGCCCGCUGGGCAGUGGCUGACGCUGAAGCGCGACAGCGUGGGGAGCAAACAGG
rnacentral:rRNA from 1 species